UACGGGGGGGCAAGGCGUUGUUCGGAAUUACUGGGCGUAAAGGGUUCGUAGGUGGCCAACUAAGUCAGACGUGAAAUCCCUCAGCUUAAACUGGGGAACUGCGUCUGAUACUGGUUGGCUUGAGUGCAGGAGAGGAACGCGGAAUUCCAAGGUGUAGCGGUGAAAUGACGUAGAUAUCUGGAGGAACACCGGUGGCGAAGGCGGCUCUCUGGGCCCGUCCUGACGCUCAUGCGCGAAGCUAG
rnacentral:rRNA from 1 species